rnacentral:rRNA from 1 species
UACGUAGGUGGCGAGCGUUGUCCGGAUUUACUGGGCGUAAAGAGCGCGCAGGCGGUCGGAUCAGUCGAAUGUGAAAGCCCCCGGCUCAACUGGGGAGGGUCAUUCGAUACUGAUCGACUCGAAGGCAGGAGAGGGUAGUGGAAUUCCCGGUGUAGUGGUGAAAUGCGUAGAUAUGGGGUGGAACACCGGUGGCGAAGGCGGCCAUCUGGACGACAACUGACGCUGAGACGCGAAAGCGUGGGGAGCAAACAGG